rnacentral:tRNA from 1 species
GCAGUAGUGUGUUCAGUGGUAGAAUGCUCACCUUCCAUGUGGGAGACCCAGGUUCGAUUCCUGGCCAGUGCA